rnacentral:rRNA from 1 species
CUCGUAGGCGGUUUGUCGCGUCGGCUGUGAAAACCUGUGGCUCAACUGUGGGCUUGCAGCUGAUACGGGCAGGCUAGAGUUCGGUAGGGGAGACUGGAAUUCCUGGUGUAGCGGUGAAAUGCGCAGAUAUCAGGAGGAACACCGGUGGCGAAGGCGGGUCUCUGGGCCGAUACUGACGCUGAGGAGCGAAAGCAUGGGGAGCGAACA